GACGAACGCUGGCGGCGUGCUUAACACAUGCAAGUCGAACGGAAAGGCCCUGCUUUUGUGGGGUGCUCGAGUGGCGAACGGGUGAGUAACACGUGAGUAACCUGCCCUUGACUUUGGGAUAACUUCAGGAAACUGGGGCUAAUACCGGAUAGGAGCUCCUGCUGCAUGGUGGGGGUUGGAAAGUUUCGGCGGUUGGGGAUGGACUCGCGGCUUAUCAGCUUGUUGGGGGGGUAGUGGCUUACCAAGGCUUUGACGGGUAGCCGGCCUGAGAGGGUGACCGGCCACAUUGGGACUGAGAUACGGCCCAGACUCCUACGGGAGGCAGCAGUGGGGAAUAUUGCACAAUGGGCGGAAGCCUGAUGCAGCAACGCCGCGUGCGGGAUGACGGCCUUCGGGUUGUAAACCGCUUUCGCCUGUGGCGAAGCGUGAGUGGCGGUAAUGGGUAAAGAAGCACCGGCUAACUACGUG
rnacentral:rRNA from 1 species